AUCUAUGGCCAAACCACCCUGAACAAGCCUGAUCUCGUCUGAUCUCAGAAGCUAAGCAGGGUCAGGCCUGGUUAGUACUUGAAUGGGAGACCACCUAGGAAGACCAGGUGCUGUAGGCA
rnacentral:rRNA from 1 species